AACUUUCAGCAAUGGAUCACUUGGUUCUGGCAUCGAUGAAGAUCGCAGCGAAAUGUGAUAAGUAAUGUGAAUUGCAGAAUUCAGUGAAUCAUCGAAUCUUUGAACGCACAUUGCGCCCCUUGGUAUCCCGAGGGGCAUGCCCGUUCGAGCGUCAUUAUAACCCCUCAAGCCUAGCUUGGUGUUGGGGCCUGCUGUUACCGGCAGCCCUUAAAAUCAGUGGCGGUGCCAUCUGGCUCUAAGCGUAGUAAUACUUCUCGCUACAGGGUCCAGGUGGAUGCUGGCCAUCAACCCCUAAUUUUCUAUGGUUGACCUCGGAUCGGGUAGGGAUACCCGCUGAAUUUAAGCAUAUCAAUAAGCGGAGGCU
rnacentral:misc_RNA from 1 species